rnacentral:rRNA from 1 species
CAGCCGCCACGGGAAUACGAAGGGGGCUAGCGUUGCUCGGAAUGACUGGGCGUAAAGGGCGCGUAGGCGGCGGCCAAAGUCAGGCGUGAAAUUCCUGGGCUCAACCUGGGGGCUGCGCUUGAUACUUGGUUGCUUGAGUGGGGAAGAGGGUCGUGGAAUUCCCAGUGUAGAGGUGAAAUUCGUAGAUAUUGGGAAGAACACCGGUGGCGAAGGCGGCGACCUGGUCCUUGACUGACGCUGAGGCGCGAAAGCGUGGGGAGCAAACAGGAUUAGAUACCCGAGUAGUCCCUGUCUCUUAUAC